rnacentral:rRNA from 1 species
GAUGAACGCUGGCGGCGUGCCUAAUACAUGCAAGUCGAGCGAACGGACGAGAAGCUUGCUUCUCUGAUGUUAGCGGCGGACGGGUGAGUAACACGUGGAUAACCUACCUAUAAGACUGGGAUAACUUCGGGAAACCGUAGCUAAUACCGGAUAAUAUUUUGAACCGCAUGGUUCAAAAGUGAAAGACGGUCUUGCUGUCACUUAUAGAUGGAUCCGCGCUGCAUUAGCUAGUUGGUAAGGUAACGGCUUACCAAGGCAACGAUGCAUAGCCGACCUGAGAGGGUGAUCGGCCACCCUGGAACUGAGACACGGUCCAGACUCCUACGGGAGGCAGCAGUAGGGAAUCUUCCGCAAUGGGCGAAAGCCUGACGGAGCAACGCCGCGUGAGUGAUGAAGGUCCUCGGAUCGUAAAACUCUGUUAUUAGGGAAGAACAUAUGUGUAAGUAACUGUGCACAGCUUGACGGUACCUAAUCAGAAAGCCACGGCUAACUACGUG